rnacentral:rRNA from 1 species
UACGGAGGGUGCAAGCGUUAUCCGGAUUUACUGGGUUUAAAGGGUGUGUAGGCGGGCUUUUAAGUCAGUGGUGAAAUCUCCGGGCUCAACCUGGAAACUGCCAUUGAUACUAUUAGUCUUGAAUUUUGUUGAGGUAGGCGGAAUAAGUCAUGUAGCGGUGAAAUGCAUAGAUAUGACUUAGAACACCAAUUGCGAAGGCAGCUUGCUAAACAAAUAUUGACGCUGGGGCACGAAAGCGUGGGGAUCAAACAGG